rnacentral:rRNA from 1 species
UACGUAGGGGGCAAGCGUUGUCCGGAAUCAUUGGGCGUAAAGAGCGUGUAGGCGGCCAGGUAGGUCUGCUGUGAAAACUCGAGGCUCAACCUCGAGAUGUCGGCGGAAACCAUCUGGCUAGAGUCCGGAAGAGGAAAGUGGAAUUCCUGGUGUAGCGGUGAAAUGCGCAGAUAUCAGGAAGAACACCCGUGGCGAAGGCGGCUUUCUGGGACGGUACUGACGCUGAGACGCGAAAGCGUGGGGAGCGAACAGG